CGGAGGUCACCCGCAGAUAGCUUCUCUGCGGUAAAACUCGGGCGUUCCGAUCCCCUCAACAGAAACUUCCUUCCGCAGUUAAUAGUAUUAUUACACGGCAGAGAGAAGGAGAGAGAGACAGAGAGCGAGGUGAGACAAAGGGAGGUCGGAGAUAUUUUUCCAUUCUGGGAAAGAGAAGAAAGGAGGAGGAGGAGGAGGAGGUGAAGUAGGGGGAUGGAGGAGCGGGAGAGGCAAGUGCUCAUGGCGAAGCUCGCAGAGCAGGCGGAGAGAUACGGUGAAAUGGUGGAGUCCUUGAAGAAGAUUGCCAGAAUGGACAUUGAGCUGACGCCAGAGGAGAGGAACUUAUUGUCGGUUGGCUACAAGAAUGUGAUUGGUGAAAGAAGAGCAUCAUGGAGGAUCCUCUGUUCGCUUGAACAGAAAGAAGAGGUGAAGGGGAGUGAGCAAAAUGCGAGGAGGAUAAGGGAGUAUAAGAAGAAAGUUGAAAACGAACUGUCGAGGAUCUGUAAUGACAUUUUGUCUGUCAUUGCCAUCCACAUCCUUCCGUCUUCUUCUGCUGGUGAAUCGAUCGUUUUCUUCUACAAGAUGAAAGGAGAUUAUUACAGGUAUUUGGCAGAAUUUAAGACUGGAAAUGAAAGAAGGGAUGCUGCGGAUCAGUCGCUUAAAUCUUAUCAGGCUGCUACAAGUACUGCUAUGACUGAUCUUCCACCCGGUCACCCGAUUAGGCUUGGCCUCGCACUAAAUUUCUCUGUCUUUUACUAUGAGAUAAUGAAUUCAUCUGAAAGGGCAUGCCAUCUGGCUAAACAGGCGUUUGAUGAGGCUAUUCCAGAGAUCAAUUCCCUCAGAGAAGACUUUUACAAGGAUAGUACACUUAUUCUGCAGCUUCUUAAGGAUAAUCUGACAUUGUGGACAUCAGAUCUGCCAGAAGGAGGUGAACGAUCCAGAGACACCAGUACGAAUAUGGAAUUGCAUUAACCCAGAAGAUGCCAUGUUCUGGACCUUUGCAACCUUCCCAGUAGGGUGCGCAGACAGUGGGGAGUGACGGUGGCAGCAGUGUGCGCAGGCGGAGGCUAUGGGGAAGGAAAAGGAGAAAAAGAAGAGGGAGUAGUUGGUCCGUCAAAGCUGAUUGGUGCUCAUGUGAGGCCUUAGCUGCUGCUAAUGUCACUGUUUGGUGAUUCCAGUUCUUCAUGUUCUGGUUUCCAUUUACUUUUGUCUUGGUUUGACGGGCAUGCAAGGGUUCAUCCAAUGUAUAAAAUGUUUGGGUGUGGGAUCGAUAAGCUCUUUGGAAAUUCAACUCAUGUUUACGUACGAAUGAGCUGUUAAUCAAUAUGACUUUCCAGUCUUGCA